CGGGGCCGUGCGGGCCGGGCGAGGCGCCGGGCUGGGGGCCGGGGACUUGGGGUCUCCUGCGGCUGCGAUGCUCGGGCCCCUAGUCAGUGGCUGCAUAGCUCGGGGCUGCAGAGGGACCGCUUUCACCCGCCCGAAGAACCCCCCAGGCGAAGAUGCGGAAGGUACUAGGCUGGGAGGGGACUGUCCCUCAGCGCCCCACCCGAUGCACGCGUUCAAGCCGUCAGUGGACCCGGAACUGGUGAGGACCGCGGACCAACCCAGCCCAGCCCAGCCCAACUCCGAGAGGGAGCGCCGCGAGUGGAACCCGACAUGGAAUCCCAGCGCUGCCGCCUGCUACCGGUGGGGCCUCGUGGGACCUGGAGCCCAGCACUGCACCUGAACCUGGUCUCCAGAAUCAAAGAGCUUUGGGCUGCACCGUUUAUUGAACACCUGUUAUAUACCAGGCCUUGUUUUAGGCACUAAAAGAUGAUAGAGGUGAAUAAGACAUAGAUUGCUGUCCACCUGCGACAGGGUAGUUAUGAUGACACAGGUGAAGAGAUUAGAAAUGUGGGCUCAAUAAAUACUAGGUCAUAUGCAACCUUUUACAUUUGCUACAGAGAUUCAGCUCUAUGGGACUGCCUUCCUCCACACAGUAGCUCAGAAUUUUUUUUCCUUCUUUUUCCUUUCUUCAUUCAACAAAUAUUUGUUGAGCUUGGUUUAGAAUGCAGGAGACCUGGAAAGUAAAUCCUGCUAAUAAUACCAACUCUCCCUGGCAUUCUUGCCCUCUUUGGAAUCAAAUGGGUCACCUCUGAGGGGAUAGUAACUGCAUAAAUGAGUUCAU
rnacentral:lncRNA from 1 species